GUAUGGUGCAAGCGUUAUCCGGAUUUACUGGGUGUAAAGGGAGCGUAGACGGAUGGGCAAGUCUGAUGUGAAAACCCGGGGCUCAACCCCGGGACUGCAUUGGAAACUGUUCAUCUAGAGUGCUGGAGAGGUAAGUGGAAUUCCUAGUGUAGCGGUGAAAUGCGUAGAUAUUAGGAGGAACACCAGUGGCGNAGGCGGCUUACUGGACAGUNACUGACGUUGAGGCUCGAAAGCGUGGGGAGCANACAGGAUUAGAUACCCUGGUAGUCCACGCCGUAAACGAUGACUACUAGGUGUCGGGUGGCAAAGCCAUUCGGUGCCGCAGCAAACGCAAUNAGUAGUCCACCUGGGGAGU
rnacentral:rRNA from 1 species